UUUAAUAAAAUAAGUUACACUCCUUUGUGUUACUAAAAACCCUAAAACAUCUACACACCUUCAGCAGCCGACAUCCCCUUUCACCCCUCUGCUUUCUCUGUCCGAUCAUCGGCGACCGGUGUCGGUUACCGGCCGGCUACCGGGGUCCCGUGCUUGCUGGCAUGUCACCCCACACAACCCCAAGCUCCCUCUUCAUCUUAACCCGUCGCACACACCGCUACCCUGUCCAAAGAGAGAUGGAGAGAUCGGAGAACAGGAGAGGGGCCGAUCACCUAUGUCACGGCAACAGAAGCAGCAAGUGGCGGCGGCAAUGGAUUCCGACAACUGUUUUUCAGGUAAAAUGUACCGGAGGAGCCGGCGACCGACUUACCGGCGGUGAUGAUGGUGGUGGUCGUCAGACGUGGCUACAGAACACGGGGGGGGGGGGUGGCGGCGACUUUAAUUCCUUCCGACAGGUUCACCGUGAAGACACCCGACGGCGGUGGUGGCUGCCGCCAGAGCUUCGUUCAAGUUCAAAUUUGGUUCUAGUGCUUAGAUUCAGAUUUCAGAUUUUAUUCGGUAUGGCUUCGGGUGUUACGGAUCAGAUUCAGGAACGGUCAACAGUUAACCCGGUCAAAAUUAGCAGUUUCCGGUGUCGUUUCAGCGGGUUGUUCAGGUCUCGUUUCGGGUCAAGUAGCUUCGUUACAGGUGCAUAAAUGUAUCUUUAUUUGGGCAAAAUGGGAGGCACUCAGGCUGCCAAAUGGGAUCUGGGCUGGCAUAAUAUAUUGGAGUGGAUUUCAGCUUGUUAAACAAUUGGCGUGCUGACGCAGAUGAACUACAGUCCAACAGAAGCAAUGUGACAAACUGCUAUGAACCUUUUUGACUUGCAAGACUACACGUAUGUUAAGCUGGAUUGCCUUGAUGAGUUGGAGAUUACAAAAUUCGGUAACAUGAAACCUGGAAUGGGUUUUUUGAAGCUUAUAUUGGCAAAGUCAUGUAUGCUAAAGAAAUUGCAGUGAUAUGAAGAAGUUGACUGGUAAGGCAUCUUGCAGAAUUUGCCACCAGAACUUCAGCGCUACUGUCACAGGUUAGGCGUUUCGCCAUAUUGUGCCUCUUCGACUCCAACUGGUGCCUACACAAAGAAGAAUACGAAUUCAGAAAGUAUGUGUCCAGCAGGCUGGUCUUUGGGCAUAACUGAUGGCUUUAGUGGUGAGUGAUCCAUGCUGUGAUUAUUUCAGACAAAAAAAUGAGUGAACUAUGAAGACUGCUUCUCAAGUUCUCUUUAUAUAGAACACAACUGCAGCAGUUAUGUAGGAACAUGGACAGAAAAACUGCUCAAACGUGGGAUGGUGCUGCUCAGAACUGCUGUUCGGUUCAGUUAUGUAGGAACAUGGACAGAAACUGCUCAAACGUGGGAUGGUGCUGCUCAGAACUGAUGUCAACAACGGUUAAAAUUAAGAGUUUAUACGGCCCAGAUUUAAUCUCAGCAUAAUCGAACGGAUGAUAUUGAUUUCAACAGUAACUUCCACUUAAUGGGUUCCA